UGGGCGGGCGGGCAGUCGUCAGUCUCGUGUCGCCGGCUCGCGUGAACAAACCGACCGCCGGCUCCUCCUCAAACACUAUGGAAGUGCGUAAUCGUGCAGUUUCCUAAAAAUAUUCAGAUAUAGCUACCGUCACCGUGUCACCGUCACCGUCAAUAAUGAUUUAAAAUGUUUAAAGAUCCACCCGAAGUGAACUGUGAUUGUCCGACUGACACAGAAUGUGAUCAGAUGGUAAAGUGACGUGAUGCAACUAGUAAUGCUAAACUUUUUAAUAAUGUUCGACGUCGUGUUUAUAUUCUUUCUGUUCCUGAUCGCUGUGACGUGUGUGAUGAACUACAUGCCGGGAAGGAAGCGCCAGGAAGCCACAGAAGACGACGUUGAUGAUGACGUCAUCCCCCCUCCCCCAUUGUUUGCGGGCGACGACGAAUUCCCCUCGGGCUGCCGUGAUACGUAUGUCGUGAUCUCGCCACCAAUGGACAACGACACAGCAAAGGACGGAUGUCCCGUACACAUUGUUUAAUAUAAGCACUGACAUGAUAUCAACGUAGGAGUUUAUUAUGAAGAAGCCUUAUGAUGUAAUCGUGGAAACGUAGACAUUUUUUACUAAUUAGUAAAUAUUAAAUGAGAUACUUGUUACGUAAUUAUUGUAAGUAAGGUUUGGGACGCAAUGGACAAAAAAAAAAUGAAUGUGAAGAUCUCGUAUGCAGUAAACGAUUGCGAAGUUUAACUUAGCUUAUUAAAUACAUAUAUUGUAUAAAUUUUUAUUGAAUGUUUUUUUGAAGGAGCAUUACACAUAAAAUUAGCGGAAACAAAAUAGUUUAGAAUGUAUUUAUCUAUAAUGGAUUUUUAUCAAUGUUCUUCAAAACAAUCUGGUAGAACUGUACUUUGGAGAUAGUGGCUUGAGAGUAUCUCUGGUAUUAGCUACACGAAAAAAAAACAAAAAAUUUGUACUUGUUUUGACAAUAAACGACUUAAGAAUUUACAUGGACAGAAAAAAUGUCAAGUACAAUAAGUAGUAAAAUCAAAGUUCGUUCCUAAAAUGACUAAGAUAUACAUCUGAAUAUAAUCUAUUGUCUAGAAUUUGCAUACAUCGGGCCUAAUUGAGGCUGUCAGCGCAAAAGUGGCGUAAUCCACAAUUUUU